GAUGACUUUUCCUGAGGAUUGGCUUGGAAAUCAGCCCAAGGAGCAGUCUGAAAAUUAAACAGCAAGAAGAGGGAAUUGCAGUCCUCCCAACGGUGGGAUUUGAGGAUCAAAGGCAUUGUGUCUGUUGCAAUCUGCCUGUUCACAUGCUUAGUGACU
rnacentral:lncRNA from 12 species